CUAUGAUAUUGUGUGCGAAGGCCCCCGGGUGUGGGGGUAGGAAUAAAUAAUGGUGUUAGGAAAAAUGCAAACAUUGGCGUUCAAGUCCGACAAAAAAAAGUCGGAGAACAGGGAACAGGGCGUCAUAUCGUGAUGUCAUUU
ensembl:ncRNA R01E6.19 ncRNA